ensembl:lncRNA
CAGAUACAGGUUGAGGUAGGUCAGAUACAGGUUGAGGUAGGUCAGAUAGAGGUUGAGGUAGGUCAGAUAGAGGUUGAGGUAGGUCAGAUAGAGGUUGAGGUAGGUCAGAUAGAGGUUGAGGUAGGUCAGAUAGAGGUUGAGUUAGGUCAGAUAGAGGUUGAGUUAGGUCAGAUAGAGGUUGAGUUAGGUCAGAUAGGAUACAGGUUGAGUUAGGUCAGGUAGGGUACAGGUUGAGUUAGGUCAGGUACAGGUUGAGUUAGGUCAGGUACAGGUUGAGUUAGGUCAGAUACAGGUUGAGGUAGGUCAGAUACAGGUUGAGGUAGGUCAGAUACAGGUUGAGUUAGGUCAGAUACAGGUUGAGUUAGGUCAGAUACAGGUUGAGUU